rnacentral:rRNA from 1 species
AUUGAACGCUGGCGGCAGGCCUAACACAUGCAAGUCGAGCGAGCGGCGGACGGGAGAGUAAUGUAUGGGGAUCUGCGCGAUGGAGGGGGAUGACUAAUGGAAACGAUGGCUAAUACCGAAUACUAUCGGAUGAAACCAUAUGGGAUUAGGCAGUAGGUGGGGUAAAGGGUCACCAAGUCGACGAUCUCUAGCUGGUCUGAGAGGAUGCUGAGCAACACGUUGACUGAGACACGGCCCAGACUCCUACGGGAGGCAGCAGUGGGGAAUAUGUCACAAUGGGCGAAAGCCUGAUCCAGCCAUGCCGCGUGUAUGAAGAAGGCCUUAGGGUUGUAAAGUACUUUUAGCUGGGAGGCGUUACCCGCAGAAGAAGCACCGGCUAACUACGUGCCAGCCGCCGCGGUAAUAC